AGUGAACGCUGGCGGUAGGCCUAACACAUGCAAGUCGAACGGCAGCACAGUAAGAGCUUGCUCUUACGGGUGGCGAGUGGCGGACGGGUGAGGAAUACAUCGGAAUCUACUUUUUCGUGGGGGAUAACGUAGGGAAACUUACGCUAAUACCGCAUACGACCUACGGGUGAAAGCAGGGGAUCUUCGGACCUUGCGCGAUUGAAUGAGCCGGUGUCGGAUUAGCUAGUUGGCGGGGUAAAGGCCCACCAGGGCGACGAUCCGGAGCUGGUCUGAGAGGAUGAUCAGCCACACUGGAACUGAGACACGGUCCAGACUCCUACGGGAGGCAGCAGUGGGGAAUAUUGGACAAUGGGCGCAAGCCUGAUCCAGCCAUACCGCGUGGGUGAAGAAGGCCUUCGGGUUGUAAAGCCCUUUUGUUGGGAAAGAAAAGCAGCAGGUUAAUACCCCGCUGUUCUGACGGUACCCAAAGAAUAAGCACCGGCUAACUUCGUG
rnacentral:rRNA from 1 species